CUCCCGGUAGCCAAGUUGGUUUAAGGCGCAAGACUGUAAUUGACUAUAAUGACAGCUUACGUUGAAAGGUAAUUGUCAUAAUAAUAACAACAACGAUAUUAUAGAUAAUCUUGAGAUCGGAUGUUCGAUUCAUCCCCGGGAGA
rnacentral:tRNA from 1 species